UAUUAAGGGUGUAAGGCAUGUAGUCAGUGAGAUAAAGCGAAAGGAGGGAGAGAAACUUGAUGAAGAAAAGCGUAGACGAGUUUUAAAGGACGAAAUUGAACUAGAAAAGGCAAAACUUGAAGUUAGAUCUAAAUUUGAAGCAAGUUCCAAGGCCUCAAGUGUUGGCGAGAUGGGAGCUAAGUUACCUAAGCUUGUGAUUAGCAAAUUUCAAGGCAAUCAUCUAGAUAGGGUAAGAUUUUGGAAUCAAUUUGAGAUUGAAAUUGACAAGUCCAACAUAACACAGGUAGCCAAGCUGUCCUAUUUAAGAGAAUUACUCAUGCCUAAUGCUCGAGUAAUGAUAGAAGGGCUUCCUUUCUCGUCUGAAGGUUAUGAGAGAGCGAAAACGAUUUUGAAAACCAAGUAUGGGCAAAUCAGUGAAAUCAUAAAUGCAC